rnacentral:rRNA from 1 species
UACGUAGGGGGCUAGCGUUGUCCGGAUUUAUUGGGCGUAAAGAGCGUGUAGGCGGCCAGGUAGGUCCGCUGUGAAAGUCCGAGGCUCAACCUCGGAAUGUCGGCGGAAACCCUCUGGCUAGAGUCCGGAAGAGGAGAGUGGAAUUCCCGGUGUAGCGGUGAAAUGCGCAGAUAUCGGGAAGAACACCCGUGGCGAAGGCGGCUCUCUGGAACGCAACUGACGCUGAGACGCGAAAGCGUGGGGAGCAAACAGG